UGAAUCCAUAGGUUAAUGAGGCGAACCGGGGGAACUGAAACAUCUAAGUACCCCGAGGAAAAGAAAUCAACCGAGAUUCCCCCAGUAGCGGCGAGCGAACGGGGAGCAGCCCAGAGCCUGAAUCAGUGUGUGUGUUAGUGGAAGCGUCUGGAAAGGCGCGCGAUACAGGGUGACAGCCCCGUACACAAAAAUGCACAUGCUGUGAGCUCGAUGAGUAGGGCGGGACACGUGGUAUCCUGUCUGAAUAUGGGGGGACCAUCCUCCAAGGCUAAAUACUCCUGACUGACCGAUAGUGAACCAGUACCGUGAGGGAAAGGCGAAAAGAACCCCGGCGAGGGGAGUGAAAAAGAACCUGAAACCGUGUACGUACAAGCAGUGGGAGCACGCUUAGGCGUGUGACUGCGUACCUUUUGUAUAAUGGGUCAGCGACUUAUAUUCUGUAGCAAGGUUAACCGAAUAGGGGAGCCGAAGGGAAACCGAGUCUUAACUGGGCGUUAAGUUGCAGGGUAUAGACCCGAAACCCGGUGAUCUAGCCAUGGGCAGGUUGAAGGUUGGGUAACACUAACUGGAGGACCGAACCGACUAAUGUUGAAAAAUUAGCGGAUGACUUGUGGCUGGGGGUGAAAGGCCAAUCAAACCGGGAGAUAGCUGGUUCUCCCCGAAAGCUAUUUAGGUAGCGCCUCGUGAAUUCAUCUCCGGGGGUAGAGCACUGUUUCGGCAAGGGGGUCAUCCCGACUUACCAACCCGAUGCAAACUGCGAAUACCGGAGAAUGUUAUCACGGGAGACACACGGCGGGUGCUAACGUCCGUCGUGAAGAGGGAAACAACCCAGACCGCCAGCUAAGGUCCCAAAGUCAUGGUUAAGUGGGAAACGAUGUGGGAAGGCCCAGACAGCCAGGAUGUUGGCUUAGAAGCAGCCAUCAUUUAAAGAAAGCGUAAUAGCUCACUGGUCGAGUCGGCCUGCGCGGAAGAUGUAACGGGGCUAAACCAUGCACCGAAGCUGCGG
rnacentral:rRNA from 1 species